rnacentral:rRNA from 1 species
UACAGAGGGUGCGAGCGUUGUCCGGAAUUACUGGGCGUAAAGGGCGCGUAGGCGGCCCGAUAAGUCGGGGGUGAAAGUCAGCGGCUCAACCGCUGGACUGCCUUCGAGACUGUUAGGCUUGAGCAUGGUAGAGGCUGGCGGAAUUCCCGGUGUAGCGGUGGAAUGCGUAGAGAUCGGGAAGAACAUCGGUGGCGAAGGCGGCCAGCUGGGCCAUUGCUGACGCUGAGGCGCGACAGCGUGGGGAGCAAACAGG